rnacentral:rRNA from 1 species
CCCAGUGUGAUUCGUCACACUAUCAUUAACUGAAUCCAUAGGUUAAUGAGGCGAACCGGGGGAACUGAAACAUCUAAGUACCCCGAGGAAAAGAAAUCAACCGAGAUUCCCCCAGUAGCGGCGAGCGAACGGGGAGCAGCCCAGAGCCUGAAUCAGUGUGUGUGUUAGUGGAAGCGUCUGGAAAGGCGUGCGAUACAGGGUGACAGCCCCGUACACAAAAAUGCACAUACUGUGAGCUCGAUGAGUAGGGCGGGACACGUGGUAUCCUGUCUGAAUAUGGGGGGACCAUCCUCCAAGGCUAAAUACUCCUGACUGACCGAUAGUGAACCAGUACCGUGAGGGAAAGGCGAAAAGAACCCCGGCGAGGGGAGUGAAAAAGAACCUGAAACCGUGUACGUACAAGCAGUGGGAGCACGCUUAGGCGUGUGACUGCGUACCUUUUGUAUAAUGGGUCAGCGACUUAUAUUCUGUAGCAAGGUUAACCGAAUAGGGGAGCCGAAGGGAAACCGAGUCUUAACUGGGCGUUAAGUUGCAGGGUAUAGACCCGAAACCCGGUGAUCUAGCCAUGGGCAGGUUGAAGGUUGGGUAACACUAACUGGAGGACCGAACCGACUAAUGUUGAAAAAUUAGCGGAUGACUUGUGGCUGGGGGUGAAAGGCCAAUCAAACCGGGAGAUAGCUGGUUCUCCCCGAAAGCUAUUUAGGUAGCGCCUCGUGAAUUCAUCUCCGGGGGUAGAGCACUGUUUCGGCAAGGGGGUCAUCCCGACUUACCAACCCGAUGCAAACUGCGAAUACCGGAGAAUGUUAUCACGGGAGACACACGGCGGGUGCUAACGUCCGUCGUGAAGAGGGAAACAACCCAGACCGCCAGCUAAGGUCCCAAAGUCAUGGUUAAGUGGGAAACGAUGUGGGAAGGCCCAGACAGCCAGGAUGUUGGCUUAGAAGCAGCCAUCAUUUAAAGAAAGCGUAAUAGCUCACUGGUCGAGUCGGCCUGCGCGGAAGAUGUAACGGGGCUAAACCAUGCACCGAAGCUGCGGCAGCGACGCUUAUGCGUUGUUGGGUAGGGGAGCGUUCUGUAAGCCUGUGAAGGUGUACUGUGAGGUAUGCUGGAGGUAUCAGAAGUGCGAAUGCUGACAUAAGUAACGAUAAAGCGGGUGAAAAGCCCGCUCGCCGGAAGACCAAGGGUUCCUGUCCAACGUUAAUCGGGGCAGGGUGAGUCGACCCCUAAGGCGAGGCCGAAAGGCGUAGUCGAUGGGAAACAGGUUAAUAUUCCUGUACUUGGUGUUACUGCGAAGGGGGGACGGAGAAGGCUAUGUUGGCCGGGCGACGGUUGUCCCGGUUUAAGCGUGUAGGCUGGUUUUCCAGGCAAAUCCGGAAAAUCAAGGCCGAGGCGUGAUGACGAGGCACUACGGUGCUGAAGCAACAAAUGCCCUGCUUCCAGGAAAAGCCUCUAAGCAUCAGGUAACAUCAAAUCGUACCCCAAACCGACACAGGUGGUCAGGUAGAGAAUACCAAGGCGCUUGAGAGAACUCGGGUGAAGGAACUAGGCAAAAUGGUGCCGUAACUUCGGGAGAAGGCACGCUGAUACGUAGGUGAAGCGACUUGCUCGUGGAGCUGAAAUCAGUCGAAGAUACCAGCUGGCUGCAACUGUUUAUUAAAAACACAGCACUGUGCAAACACGAAAGUGGACGUAUACGGUGUGACGCCUGCCCGGUGCCGGAAGGUUAAUUGAUGGGGUUAGCGCAAGCGAAGCUCUUGAUCGAAGCCCCGGUAAACGGCGGCCGUAACUAUAACGGUCCUAAGGUAGCGAAAUUCCUUGUCGGGUAAGUUCCGACCUGCACGAAUGGCGUAAUGAUGGCCAGGCUGUCUCCACCCGAGACUCAGUGAAAUUGAACUCGCUGUGAAGAUGCAGUGUACCCGCGGCAAGACGGAAAGACCCCGUGAACCUUUACUAUAGCUUGACACUGAACAUUGAGCCUUGAUGUGUAGGAUAGGUGGGAGGCUUUGAAGUGUGGACGCCAGUCUGCAUGGAGCCGACCUUGAAAUACCACCCUUUAAUGUUU